rnacentral:rRNA from 1 species
GGGUUGUGAGGUUAAGCGACUAAGCGUACACGGUGGAUGCCCUGGCAGUCAGAGGCGAUGAAGGACGUGCUAAUCUGCGAUAAGCGUCGGUAAGGUGAUAUGAACCGUUAUAACCGGCGAUUUCCGAAUGGGGAAACCCAGUGUGAUUCGUCACACUAUCAUUAACUGAAUCCAUAGGUUAAUGAGGCGAACCGGGGGAACUGAAACAUCUAAGUACCCCGAGGAAAAGAAAUCAACCGAGAUUCCCCCAGUAGCGGCGAGCGAACGGGGAGCAGCCCAGAGCCUGAAUCAGUGUGUGUGUUAGUGGAAGCGUCUGGAAAGGCGCGCGAUACAGGGUGACAGCCCCGUACACAAAAAUGCACAUGCUGUGAGCUCGAUGAGUAGGGCGGGACACGUGGUAUCCUGUCUGAAUAUGGGGGGACCAUCCUCCAAGGCUAAAUACUCCUGACUGACCGAUAGUGAACCAGUACCGUGAGGGAAAGGCGAAAAGAACCCCGGCGAGGGGAGUGAAAAAGAACCUGAAACCGUGUACGUACAAGCAGUGGGAGCACGCUUAGGCGUGUGACUGCGUACCUUUUGUAUAAUGGGUCAGCGACUUAUAUUCUGUAGCAAGGUUAACCGAAUAGGGGAGCCGAAGGGAAACCGAGUCUUAACUGGGCGUUAAGUUGCAGGGUAUAGACCCGAAACCCGGUGAUCUAGCCAUGGGCAGGUUGAAGGUUGGGUAACACUAACUGGAGGACCGAACCGACUAAUGUUGAAAAAUUAGCGGAUGACUUGUGGCUGGGGGUGAAAGGCCAAUCAAACCGGGAGAUAGCUGGUUCUCCCCGAAAGCUAUUUAGGUAGCGCCUCGUGAAUUCAUCUCCGGGGGUAGAGCACUGUUUCGGCAAGGGGGUCAUCCCGACUUACCAACCCGAUGCAAACUGCGAAUACCGGAGAAUGUUAUCACGGGAGACACACGGCGGGUGCUAACGUCCGUCGUGAAGAGGGAAACAACCCAGACCGCCAGCUAAGGUCCCAAAGUCAUGGUUAAGUGGGAAACGAUGUGGGAAGGCCCAGACAGCCAGGAUGUUGGCUUAGAAGCAGCCAUCAUUUAAAGAAAGCGUAAUAGCUCACUGGUCGAGUCGGCCUGCGCGGAAGAUGUAACGGGGCUAAACCAUGCACCGAAGCUGCGGCAGCGACGCUGAUGCGUUGUUGGGUAGGGGAGCGUUCUGUAAGCCUGCGAAGGUGUGCUGUGAGGCAUGCUGGAGGUAUCAGAAGUGCGAAUGCUGACAUAAGUAACGAUAAAGCGGGUGAAAAGCCCGCUCGCCGGAAGACCAAGGGUUCCUGUCCAACGUUAAUCGGGGCAGGGUGAGUCGACCCCUAAGGCGAGGCCGAAAGGCGUAGUCGAUGGGAAACAGGUUAAUAUUCCUGUACUUGGUGUUACUGCGAAGGGGGGACGGAGAAGGCUAUGUUGGCCGGGCGACGGUUGUCCCGGUUUAAGCGUGUAGGCUGGUUUUCCAGGCAAAUCCGGAAAAUCAAGGCUGAGGCGUGAUG